GGGGAUAUAGCUCAGUUGGUAGAGUGCUUGCCUCCCAUGCAGAAGGUCCUGGGUUCAAUCCCCAGCACCA
rfam:Ictidomys tridecemlineatus contig002400, whole genome shotgun sequence.